GUUGUGAACCCAAAAGAGUUGGAAGAUGUCACCUGAGAAGGUGGCUGGUCCUGGCAGUGUUCUAACUGUGCUGCUUUGUCUGGGAUGACGUGGUGUUGCAACACAGGAUGUAGAAUAAUGGAGGAUGAAAUAUUGUCCUGAAGCAGACUUCUCCCAUUCAGCAAGAAAUUGUACCUCAGGGAAUGGAUCACUACAAGACGGGACAUGGCCAAAAAAAUGUCAUGUGUUUUUAGCUGCAGUGGAGAAGACAGUGAGGCACCAACUACCAUGGAAUGAGGUUCCCAGAGUCACCUACCAAUGCCUCCUCUGAUCUACAGAGUGGGAAGAGCAGCCAAUGCAAAGG